UGCCAGCCGCCGCGGUAAUACGGAGGGGGCUAGCGUUGUUCGGAAUUACUGGGCGUAAAGCGCACGUAGGCGGAUGAUCAAGUUGGGGGUGAAAGCCCAGGGCUCAACCCUGGAACUGCCCUCAAAACUGGUCGUCUCGAGUACGGGAGAGGUGAGUGGAAUUCCUAGUGUAGAGGUGAAAUUCGUAGAUAUUAGGAAGAACACCAGUGGCGAAGGCGGCUCACUGGCCCGUUACUGACGCUAAGGUGCGAAAGCGUGGGGAGCAAACAGGAUUAGAUA
rnacentral:rRNA from 1 species